GGCCUCAUAGCACAACUGGAUAGGGUACCCGCCUCCUAAGCGGUUGAUCCCGGUUCGAGUCCGGGUGAGGUCA
rnacentral:tRNA from 2 species